rnacentral:rRNA from 1 species
AUUGAACGCUGGCGGCAGGCCUAACACAUGCAAGUCGAACGAGUGGCGGACGGGUUAGUAAUGUCUGGGAAACUGCCUGAUGGAGGGGGAUAACUACUGGAAACGGUAUCUAAUCCCGCAUACCAUCAUAUGUGCCCAGGUGGGAUUAGCUUGUUGGUGGGGUAACGGCUCACAAAGGCCACGACCCCUAGCUGGUCUGAGAGGAUGACCGGCCAAACUGGAACUGGGCCACGUGCAAGACUCCUACGGGAGGCAGCAGUGGGGAAUAUUGCACAAUGGGCGAAAGCCUGAUGCAGCCAUGCCGCGUGUAUGAAGAAGGCCUUCGGGUUGUAAAGUACUUUCAGCGGGGAGGCGUUACCCGCAGAAGAAGCAACGGCUAACUCCGUGCCAGCAGCCGCGGUAAUAC